rnacentral:lncRNA from 1 species
CUGCCAGUCUCUCCAGGCCUGCUGUGGCUUUUAGAAAACAGAGCAUGUCUAUUUUUAGCCCUUCUCAGCCUAAUAAUACUCCCCAACACCCAUUCAGCUUAAUCACUUUAUUGAGGACAAGAAGCGGGCUCUCUAGCCCGGGUGCUUCUGAUGUUAGGAAGUAGUAAAAUGUUCAAACUGGUUAAAAAUGACACUCAUUGGCUUGCCUUUGGUGUUUCUGAAACCUUAAUUGUGGCUCAGGCUGUGGAUCUAAAGAGCCUUGCAGGUUUCAGAGUCUGGCUUCCUUACCCCCUGCACCAUAAUUGAGGUGUUACAUUACAACUACGGCACUGACAUUUGCAGGCUCAAAAUUCAGCAGCCUUAAGAUGCCACACUUUUCAAAACAGAAAUAUUGCCUGCCACACUUAAUGCCUAUUCUAAGUACGAACCACCUCCCUGCCGGAAAAAAACAAACCAAAACAAAACAAAACUCGUCUUUUCUGGCUCCUCCCAUGCCAGAGGUCCAGGUGGGAAACUAUUUGCCAUAUUAAGCCCAUAGCUGCUUGAAAACAGAAAGGUUUGUUUGGUGUAAUUAGAAGACCUGCGAGUUUGGUGUGUGCAGGAAAUAGACUGUUGGCAGCUCUUCCACGUGCACCUUUGAGACCGUGACUUCCAAAGCUUCAGGGCCAAGGAGGCCCACAGCCAUCACAGGGAUUGGAGGACUCCCAAGUGCAAGAAACUGGGCUCUAAGUCUCUGCCAGGUGGCUAUGGGCGGAGGAGGAUGAGGAGGAAAGAGAUGCCUGCCUGGAUGGUUCUAGCUCACAGAAGUUCUUGCUUCCUCUUGUCCAGAAAGCCAAACCAUGCAUCCUGAGCCCUUCACUUCUUCAACAGAUAUUUCCUGAGAGCCUGCUAUGUGUCCCGCUGUGAGGAUGCAACAGAGCACACUACUGACAAGGUCCCCGCCUUCCAUCCUUGUCUUCUCAUCCAGAUUGCUGACUCCUGGGGCUGGAGGGAAGCAGGCAGCACCUCAGGUCUGUUCCUUACCAUGUGCCCAUCCGCAUGCCUGCUCACUCACCCAUUAGGUUAUUUUUCAAAUGACUGAGUUAUAACCACCAUUCAGGUUACUAAGCGAGGUAGUAUAGGGGACACAAAUAAAUCACAUGUUCUCAAGAAGCUUACAGUCUAGUAGGCAAAAAAGGCCAAGCAAAUAAAUAGCUAUGUAACAAAGAAGGUGACAGGUGCCAUAAGAGGGGAUAGAUAAAUGGCUAAGAGCGAUCAGAUGGAGGGCGGCCUCUUGUCCUGCCCAGACAGACACAUCCUAGGGCUGAGUCGGCUGACUUUUCAAAAGAGAAGAGAAAAAGGAACGCUCGCCGGUCGGGCACCAGGCCUAGCAUGGGAAACAGGCAGGACCUAUUUAAAACAACUAGAGCCAGGUUAGAGCCUUUUCUGGCAAGUCCCAAAACUCCUGGAGCUGAUCAGAUAACCAGAUAGAACCAAUACUGUCAAAAUCCUAUGGAUUUUAAAAAAUCAUUUAGCUGUUGCCGGGAUGAUAAAAGAAUCUUGCCAUUCAAAGGGAAGGUGCAGGCUCAGAGGAAGGAGGGGUCGCUGGGAGAGCAGGAGGGGGCUGGGGAGAAAAGGGAACGCCCUACAAAUAUAGAUCAGGGUUAGGGAGAAAAACCAGACGGCCAAGGACAUUUAUGCAUUGUGGUUGCUUUACUACCUAAUUAAUUCAGUAAUUUCAAAAACAAUUUUAUUUAUGUUCCAUUUACCACAUCAAAGGUGAAAAAAAUCCUACUGAUGCUAAAAUAAUACCUCAAGGCAUCUAUUUUUAAUCAGUUAAAAAAAAAAAAAGCAAGGGGUAGAGGGAGAAUUUAAAAAAAAAAAAAAACAAAAAAACUCGCCCUGGUUUCUAUACAAUCUCUCCUGGGCAGACCACCAACCCUCAGAGAGAGAGAGAGAGAGAGAAAACACAGCCAAGCCCUCUCUGAGAGCCUUCCUGGCUGCUGAAAACCAAGCUUGUCAAAAAAAAAAAAAAAAAAAAACCAAAAAAAAAAAAAACCACAAAUCCAUAAUGGCCCGAGGCUCCUCUCCAAUCUAUUUUCUGCUCAGCUGGUUUUAAAUGAAGUUAUUAUGAGUCAUUAAAACACCCGCAAGCCAGUGGAAGUCAGCCAAUUACAAUUUUAAAUUUAGCCUGUUCUCUGCCCCAUUCUCUUGUUUUCUUCCUUUGCCCACAGAAUGCUGCUGCUGUUAUUUUUUCCCUCCCUUCCUUUACCCAAAGUGAAAGAGACAGUUAUGAAAAUGCAUAGUAUUGCACGGAGCACAGAAUCAUUCAUAUGAAACUCAAAUUAUUAGACAAAAAAAUGCAAACUUCUGCCCCCUCCAAAGUCAACCCAAGCCUUGCCUCAGCCCACUGGAUUCCUCGGAAACUCCAGUCUGAGCCCCAAAGGUCAUGGGGCUAUUUUUAAAAUGAAAAGGUUCUUCAGUGGGGUCUUGUUGAGAAAUGUUCACAUCCAUCACACAAAAUCAACAUUUUCAUGGCUGAAUCCAAAAGGUAGAAACACACCACCACCAUCUGAGAAUUAAUAACAAACAAUGAAGUUGAAAUUCAAAGGUAAAGCAGGCUUUGCAAUCAAGCAUGAAUGUCGGUAGAAGUCACUCGAUAUGAUGAGCUCAUUUAGUUUUUAAAUCUUCAAGGUAAUGGUCUGUGCGGGCCCAUUACAGCAAAGGAACAAAUUUGAGUAUUUCAUGUAAAUGCUUCUUCUCAAUCUCUUUUUGUUCCCAUGCUUGGACACACAAACACACACAUGCACACAUGGUGUUCUGAUUAGGACUGUGUCCCCGAUUUCUAGGAGACACUGCAGCUUUUCCAUACCCUCCAACAAGUGAGUCCCUCUACCCAAAGGACUGUCCAAUCCUGCAAUCUUCACCAACCUCAUUUAAUGGAUGAGUCUGCAAGCUCCACAGAACAGAUGCCCAGAUGUCUGCAAACACCUUCCAUCACCUCCAGGCCCCCUCUCCCUCAUGGUUACACACACACACACACACACACACACACACACACACACACACACACGUAGACCAGUCCUCUGCCCCACGAUACUUGCAGUUCUAUGCCCCAAGAACGCAGGAGAGCCACAGCCACAGACCUAGGCAGUUGAACACCUGGGAGAGGAGUGAAUGCCAUGCCAUUUCACUGACAGUCACCGAGGGUUAGUGUGGAGGCCAGGAUGCUACCAAGAGUGGCUGCCUACCUGGUUGCUCUGGGUGAGCUGGAACUCAGGGUCCAUCCCUACCAAGCAACCUCACUGAGAAGAGCAUGUGAAAUACCAUGAUGUUUCCAGGCCCAUUGCGACCUGCAGCCAUUUGCCAAAGGCUUGACCUCUAUGGAACAUAAACCUGAGGCCUGUGAGCACAGAUGUCCCAGGUUCUGAAGGUCCCCAGAGCUGGGCAGAUGACACCCUCCUAUCCUCAGCCCUGAGCCACCCCACUAAGUAGUUCCAAGUGAGACCCCUCAACAGCAACCUCUCAAGUGGUUCACCCAGGCCUGUUCUCCCGGAAGCCAGUAAAGCUGAAGCUUCAGGCCUCUCCCUGGCACUGACCCCUUUCCUGGGAGAGGCUCUAACACCUGGUAUUUAUAAUCCUUUUCUGAGAGACAGCACCCAAAACUGAGUACGCUUCAGGCCCCACCAAACCCAGAUCUGCCCUAGUAGUACAAACACUUUUAUAACAGGAUAUUCAUUUAUUUGACAGAUACUAUCAGUGCACAACACUCCUAUGUACCAGGCACUUUGCUAGGGCAUGAGUAUGUGAGGGCAGCUGCUGAGUCCUGCACUCAGGUGCACAGUACUGGCCCAGGAGAGCACAGUACCAGCAAAGUCCAAUAAGGGCCUUGUAAAGCCUAACCCUGCUAAACUACUUGCCCAUUCUCAACACAACUGGGAUUUGGGGGGAACAUCCAGGGACCUGGGAAAAGCAGGGGCCAAGCCAGAGAAGCCCCACUCUGGCCCCUGAGAGGCAAGGGACAAGAGCACAUGAGAUUCUAGGUGCUGGGAGCAUUCUAGGGACACUGGCUCAAGAGUCCUCCCCUCUGGGGAGACCUCUGGGCCAGAGUGACAUUUUGUUUUCCAUUCCAACCACUGCCCAGCUUCCAAGCUAAAAAAAACUUUGAGGUGGUGGGUUAGGACAGGGAGGCAGGGAGGCAGGGAGAGACAGAGACAGAGACAAAGACAGAGAAAGAGAGAGACAGAGAAAAGACCAACGAAGACAGAUGGAGACAAAGACAGAUGAAGACAUAAGAAGGAAGACAGAAAAUACACAGGAGUGUCAAGAAAAGGCCGAGGCUGACACAGACACAAAGGACAGGGACAAAGAGAUGAAGUGAGAUGAAAGCAGAUUGGGGAGAAAUAGAAGGAGAAGAGAAGAGCUGAAAAAUAAAUACCUGCCACCACAGAGACCUGGACAAGAGCACUGAAAGUAAGGGCCGCAGUAGCGUGAUGGAUGCCCAAAGCAGGGUGGGGCCCCUCAGGCACAGCCCUGGAUACAGAUACCCAGGCCCAGCCUGGUUAGAGGGCUAGGGAAUGGGGCUGAGGGCAAGAGAAAGCACGGCCAGGCCUCCUAAGAACGCUUCCGGCAGGGUGUGUGUCUGCGAAGCCAAGGGAAGACGAAAAGGCCCUGGAAAUCAGAAAUGGCAUUGCCAUUAUCAGGUUGAUCCCACGUAAAUAUCCCUCCCCAAUAACCCCAUAUCUAUUCAUCCUCAGACAAUAACAAGGACCAGCAAGGCAACCCAGAACGUAGGAAGGAUGGCAGGAGCAAAGGAGAGGAAAGGGAGACUAGGAGAAUAAAUGGCAGACAGACAGAUGUCCCAGCAUCCAUCCCUCUAGGGCACCAUUCAUUUCCUAAUAAGACCGUCAUCCUCUAGCUGUGCAAAAUCAUGUGGUGGCAUGAGACAGGGUUUGUGUGGAAGAAACCACCCUAUGCUGAGAUAGAAAAAUCAUCGAGAGAGGGAGAAGGAAGAAGGUUAU